UCCCUGGUGGCUCAGAGGGUAAAGCAUCUGCCUGCAAUGCGGGAGACCUGGGUUCAAUUCCUGGUUUGGGAA
rnacentral:tRNA from 1 species